ACGAACGCUGGCGGCAUGCCUAACACAUGCAAGUCGAACGAGACCUUCGGGUCUAGUGGCGCACGGGUGCGUAACGCGUGGGAACCUGCCCUUAGGUUCGGAAUAACUCCCCGAAAGGGGUGCUAAUACCGGAUAAUGUCUUCGGACCAAAGAUUUAUCGCCUUUGGAUGGGCCCGCGUUGGAUUAGCUAGUUGGUAGGGUAAAAGCCUACCAAGGCGACGAUCCAUUGCUGGUCUGAGAGGAUGAUCAGCCACACUGGGACUGAGACACGGCCCAGACUCCGACGGGAGGCAGCAGUGGGGAAUAUUGGACAAUGGGCGAAAGCCUGAUCCAGCAAUGCCGCGUGAGUGAUGAAGGCCUUAGGGUUGUAAAGCUCUUUUACCCGGGAUGAUAAUGACAGUACCGGGAGAAUAAGCUCCGGCUAACUCCGU
rnacentral:rRNA from 1 species